GGAACUGUCACUGUAUACAGGGAGAUUACUGGCUUCAAGUAAAGUCUUGUUAAAGCUCAGCAGCUUCCUGUGCAGCAACUUGCAGCCUUUUCCUUUCCAUGGUCACAAACCUCAUCAGCCAAACGUCAGAAAAGACAAGAAAAUGAGCAACUGUUUCCAGUGACAAACCACAUCUACUUAUCGUGAAGGUACAAUGGAUCCAACGCUGAGGCUAAUUAAGAUCAUUGUUGGUCUUGUGAUUUUGGUGCUUAGUCUUGGAUUAUACUGCUGCAAGAAAUUAACAGAAGAUGAAAGUGAUCCACCUGAGGGAGAAGAUGGAGCACCGUUACAAAGACAGCAGAUAGUGUAGCGGCUCUUCCUCCCUCUGCUCUGGAUGUGCUGUUCACACAUUUGAGGACCAUCAAGCUGGUACCAGCAUUUCCCUUUAAUCAGCAGAUGUCGACACAGCAACCAGCACUCCUCUCAAAAUGCCGCCCAAACAAUGGGAUGUAUUUUACUUCAUAUUAUCUGCAAUUUAACAAGAAAAUCUGUAAAACAACAAAACUGUUAUAAAAAUUAUGUAGCGUUUUUCUGUGCUUAAUAAACAGCAAUCAUCUGUAAAAUAAAUACAUCAUUUCUGGAUUCAGAUACUGUAAAAAUGGUGCUAUUUUACAGUCAAAUGUCAAAAAACAAAUUACCGCUUGUAAAAAUAAAGAUUUUUGAUGUGGACAUCAUGUUUGUGACAGUUUGGGCCUCUUAUUUCUCAUUAUGCAGUAAUAAAAACAUUUUUGUUUGAGAUUUUACUAGUUCCCAAAUUACAAAUUAGUCUACUGACCAAAUUAGCAGUUGUUUUCAGUUGAAGCAAUUUCAUUUAUUAUUCUUGAAACACAAUAUUACACCAGUAAUAUUGUGCGUUUUUUUUCAUCAACC
ensembl:lncRNA